UCUUCUUCUAUUUUAAGAAAA
rnacentral:piRNA from 1 species